UACGGAGGGUGCAAGCGUUAUCCGGAUUUACUGGGUUUAAAGGGUGCGUAGGUGGGCAGUUAAGUCAGCGGUGAAAUCCCCGAGCUUAACUCGGGAACUGCCAUUGAUACUAUCUGUCUUGAAUAUCCUGGAGGUGAGCGGAAUAUGUCAUGUAGCGGUGAAAUGCUUAGAUAUGACAUAGAACACCCAUUGCGAAGGCAGCUCACUACGGGAUUAUUGACACUGAGGCACGAAAGCGUGGGGAUCAAACAGG
rnacentral:rRNA from 1 species